rnacentral:rRNA from 1 species
AGUGAACGCUGGCGGUAGGCCUAACACAUGCAAGUCGAACGGCAGCACAGUAAGAGCUUGCUCUUACGGGUGGCGAGUGGCGGACGAGUGAGGAAUACAUCGGAAUCUACUUUUUCGUGGGGGACAACGUAGGGAAACUUACGCUAAUACCGCAUACGACCUACGGGUGAAAGCAGGGGAUCUUCGGACCUUGCGCGAUUGAAUGAGCCGAUGUCGGAUUAGCUAGUUGGCGGGGUAAAGGCCCACCAAGGCGACGAUCCGUAGCUGGUCUGAGAGGAUGAUCAGCCACACUGGAACUGAGACACGGUCCAGACUCCUACGGGAGGCAGCAGUGGGGAAUAUUGGACAAUGGGCGCAAGCCUGAUCCAGCCAUACCGCGUGGGUGAAGAAGGCCUUCGGGUUGUAAAGCCCUUUUGUUGGGAAAGAAAAGCAGCAGGUUAAUACCCCGCUGUUCUGACGGUACCCAAAGAAUAAGCACCGGCUAACUUCGUG